rnacentral:rRNA from 1 species
UAUGUGAUCGUCUCUCGCAUAUCAAUAAGCGGAGGAAAAGAAACUAACAAGGAUUCCCCUAGUAACGGCGAGUGAAGCGGGAAGAGCUCAAAUUUGAAAUCUUAAAGGGUUUCCCUUUACGAAUUGUAGUUUAAAGAAGUGUUUUCUGUUGAGGUUUUGGUAAAAGUUCUUUGGAAUAGGACAUCAUAGAGGGUGAGAAUCCCGUAUUUGACCUUUACUUUCAACUUUGUGAUACACUUUCAAAGAGUCGGAUUGUUUGGGAAUGCAGUCCAAAAUGGGUGGUAAAUUUCAUCUAAAGCUAAAUAUUGGCGAGAGACCGAUAGCGAACAAGUACCGUGAGGGAAAGAUGAAAAGAACUUUGAAAAGAGAGUUAAACAGUACGUGAAAUUGUCAAAAGGGAAGCGUUUGACACCAGUGUUGUUUUUCUGAAAAUCAAUUAAAGAACUGUUUAUGCUAAGUUGUUUAGACUUUAUCAGCUAACUGUUUAGUUUUGAGCUUUUCUUUAAUGCACUUUUCAGUUAACAAGUCAACAUCAAUUUCCUUUGCUGUAAAAAAGCUUGAGGAAGGUGGCUUGAGAUUCGUCUUAAGUGUUUAUAGCCUCUUGCCUAUGCAGUCGGAGAGAUUGAGGUCUGCAGCGUAGAUCCUUCGGGGCUAAAUGCAUUUGUGCUAAGUUAUAGCAUUUUAUAGACAACUUGUUGACUAUGAUUUGUCUUGUAGCUUACUCGCUUAUGUUAUUUUACCUACGCUUAGGAUGUUGAAGUCAUCGUAUCGCGC